CAGUCGCCACGGUAAUACAGAGGGUGCGAGCGUUAAUCGGAUUUACUGGGCGUAAAGCGUGCGUAGGCGGCUUUUUAAGUCGGAUGUGAAAUCCCUGAGCUUAACUUAGGAAUUGCAUUCGAUACUGGGAAGCUAGAGUAUGGGAGAGGAUGGUAGAAUUCCAGGUGUAGCGGUGAAAUGCGUAGAGAUCUGGAGGAAUACCGAUGGCGAAGGCAGCCAUCUGGCCUAAUACUGACGCUGAGGUACGAAAGCAUGGGGAGCAAACAGGAUUAGAUACCCCCGUAGUCCAUGUCUCUUAUAA
rnacentral:rRNA from 1 species